GCCUUUGCAGCCCCAGCUUCAUCCAGAAGGUCAUCCAGAUGGUUGUUCUGCUCUUCAGUCUAAUUAGCAUAUUAGUUAUUUAUUAUAUAGAAUAUAUAUUAAUGGACUUCUUUGGAAAGGACUCCUUUUGCUUCAACCUAAGCAAUGUUAUGGGCACCAUCAUGGCCCUUAUGUGCUAGCUACAUUUUUACGUAAGUUAAAGGUGCAUCUACAACUAUUAAAAGGGCCAGCAGGUAUCACUGAAAAUUGCAUUUGGGUCAUUCUCUAGUAAACUCUAGUGGCAGACAAGAGUUCUGGCCAGAUGCCAGCUUCAGGUGGACUGGAUUGGCACCUGAUAAGUUUAAGGCAAGUUCCUAAACUCAGAAAGAAAAAAAAAGGAGACCCCCUAGCUUCUGCUUUUCACCGGCUACCUUCAGGUUAAGAUGCAAACCUGCAUAUGAAUGCUAAGCAUGGUGCCAGGCCCCGAAAUGAAGCAUUGUAAGUGAAGUGUGUGUUUGUUAGCUGCCCAUUAUUUCAAAGAUGCAACUCCGCUUCAGCCUUGGGCAGCGCUGAGGACACAGGAGUGACUGAGAGAGGCUCGGGCCUGGACCUGACAAGGCUCAGCCUAGUGAGGGAGGUAGACUUUCCAUUUAACUGUAGAUGAUUAACUUCAUUAACUUCAGAUGAUUAACUUCAUUUCUUGGCAACUGCUGGGGGGGCGGGGGUUGUCAGACAAGGCUUUCCUCAGGAGGUGAUAUUUGAGCUAAGGCCUGGGAGAUAAGUAGAAUCUAGUUGUAGAAAAUAAAGCCUCCUACAUCAAAAGAUGCCCAUUUUACAGAUGAGGAAAACGGAGGACCGUGGUUACGCAGCUGCCCAGGGCGACAUCAGGGGCGGAGCCAGGUCUGAAUCCAGGGAGGUGGUUAUUACCAGCUUUGCUCCAGACUCUGCAGCAGGUUUCAGAGCCCAUCCUAGGCGGGGAGGGAACCAGGAUGCUUUCCUGGAGAUGACAGUGCGGUGGCACCUGGAGGAUGACUCAAUGCCUCCUGGCGUUGGUCUCGGAAGAAGGAAAGUCCUCAAAGACCCCAAGUUUCUGCGUGAUCUGCCCCCACGGCCUCCCUGACCUCAUCUCCCUCCCCACGGUCUGUACCUUGUUCAUUUGGCUCCACCACCUUGGCCUUCUUAUUUGUUUUUAAAAUAUAUUUCUUUAUUGAUUUCAGAGAGGAAGGAAGAGGGAGAGACAGAAACAUCAAUGAUAAAAGAGAAUCAUUUAUUG